AACGCGAAGAACCUUACCUGAUCUUGACAUCCCCCUGACCGGUGAGUAACGUCACCUUUCCUUCGGGACAGGGGAGACAGGUGGUGCAUGGUUGUCGUCAGCUCGUGUCGUGAGAUGUUGGGUUAAGUCCCGCAACGAGCGCAACCCUUAUCCUUAGUAGCCAGCAUUACGGAUGGGCACUCUAGGGAGACUGCCAGGGACAACCUGGAGGAAGGUGGGGAUGACGUCAAAUCAUCAUGCCCCUUAUGACCAGGGCUACACACGUGCUACAAUGGCGUAAACAAAGGGAAGCGAAGGAGUGAUCCGGAGCAAAUCUCAAAAAUAACGUCUCAGUUCGGAUUGUAGUCUGCAACUCGACUACAUGAAGCUGGAAUCGCUAGUAAUCGCGAAUCAGCAUGUCGCGGUGAAUACGUUCCCGGGUCUUGUACACACCG
rnacentral:rRNA from 1 species